UUCACAAACCGGGUGCGAGGCCCGGAACACAAUGUAAUAAUCUUUUAACAACUGACAGGUUUUAUGCGGUUUCUGCUCAUGGUUCCUUUCUUCUUUUAUGUAUGUGUAUCUAGAGAGAGAGAGAGAGGGAUGAUUUUGAUUCAAAAUUAUAAUUACUUCAAAAUCAGUUUUAUCGCAGAAAAUUACUAUUAUUGAUAGAUUUACUUCCCUGUCCACUCACCUCUAGUUUUAAUUCGAAGGUUCCAAGUUGUGCCGUGAUGCAGGCGAUUGAGUAACAUGGACACAUCACGAGUGAUACCCAUACAUGUGGCAUUUGUAAGCACAUGUACGUGUGCAUAAGCUGAAGGUAAUGAAGUAACAAAAGAAAUCAUGCGAAAUAACAAAAGAUUUCAAAAACCUAUAAGAACGUGUUGCCAUGCAUGUGGAAUGGUCGCCAACAACCACGCUUUCUUUUUGUACGAAAGUUCUUACCAGAAACAGCGGAGCUCCUGCUUGAAUUGCUGCAAAGAAAAAU